rnacentral:rRNA from 1 species
UACGAAGGGGGCUAGCGUUGUUCGGAAUUACUGGGCGUAAAGGGCGCGUAGGCGGUGUGUCAAGUCAGGCGUGAAAGCCCCGGGCUCAACCUGGGAACAGCGCUUGAGACUGGCACGCUCGAGUUCGGGAGAGGAUGGUGGAAUUCCCAGUGUAGAGGUGAAAUUCGUAGAUAUUGGGAAGAACACCGAUGGCGAAGGCAGCCAUCUGGACCGACACUGACGCUGAGGCGCGAAAGCUAGGGGAGCAAACAGG